GAGCUUGCUCUUCUUGGAUGAGUUGCGAACGGGUGAGUAACGCGUAGGUAACCUGCCUUGUAGCGGGGGAUAACUAUUGGAAACGAUAGCUAAUACCGCAUAACAAUGGAUGACACAUGUCAUUUAUUUGAAAGGGGCAAUUGCUCCACUACAAGAUGGACCUGCGUUGUAUUAGCUAGUAGGUGAGGUAACGGCUCACCUAGGCGACGAUACAUAGCCGACCUGAGAGGGUGAUCGGCCACACUGGGACUGAGACACGGCCCAGACUCCUACGGGAGGCAGCAGUAGGGAAUCUUCGGCAAUGGGGGCAACCCUGACCGAGCAACGCCGCGUGAGUGAAGAAGGUUUUCGGAUCGUAAAGCUCUGUUGUAAGUCAAGAACGAGUGUGAGAGUGGAAAGUUCACACUGUGACGGUAGCUUACCAGAAAGGGACGGCUAACUACGUGCCAGCAGCCGCGGUAAUACGUAGGUCCCGAGCGUUGUCCGGAUUUAUUGGGCGUAAAGCGAGCGCAGGCGGUUUGAUAAGUCUGAAGUUAAAGGCUGUGGCUCAACCAUAGUUCGCUUUGGAAACUGUCAAACUUGAGUGCAGAAGGGGAGAGUGGAAUUCCAUGUGUAGCGGUGAAAUGCGUAGAUAUAUGGAGGAACACCGGUGGCGAAAGCGGCUCUCUGGUCUGUAACUGACGCUGAGGCUCGAAAGCGUGGGGAGCGAACAGGAUUAGAUACCCUGGUAGUCCACGCCGUAAACGAUGAGUGCUAGGUGUUGGAUCCUUUCCGGGAUUCAGUGCCGCAGCUAACGCAUUAAGCACUC
rnacentral:rRNA from 1 species